UACAGAGGUCCCAAGCGUUGUUCGGAUUCACUGGGCGUAAAGGGUGCGUAGGUGGUGGGGUAAGUCGGAUGUGAAAGCUCGGAGCUCAACUCCGAAAUGGCAUUGGAAACUACCCUGCUAGAGGAUUGGAGGGGGGACUGGAAUACUUGGUGUAGCAGUGAAAUGCGUAGAUAUCAAGUGGAACACCAGUGGCGAAGGCGGCUUUCUGGACGAUAACUGACGCUGAGACGCGAAAGCGUGGGGAGCAAACAGG
rnacentral:rRNA from 1 species